GUUCGGGUCAGGGUGGUGGGUGUCAGGUGUUCGGGUCAGGGUGGUGGGUGUCAGGUGUUCGGGUCAGGGUGGUGGGUGUCAGGUGUUCGGGUCAGGGUGGUGGGUGUCAGGUGUUCGGGUCAGGGUGGUGGGUGUCAGGUGUUCGGGUCAGGGUGGUGGGUGUCAGGUGUUCGGGUCAGGGUGGUGGGUGUCAGGUGUUCGGGUCAGGGUGGUGGGUGUCAGGUGUUCGGGUCAGGGUGGUGGGUGUCAGGUGUUCGGGUCAGGGUGGUGGGUGUCAGGUGUUCGGGUCAGGGUGGUGGGUGUCAAGUGUUCGGGUCAGGGUGGUGGGUGUCAGGUGUUCGGGUCAGGGUGGUGGGUGUCAGGUGUUCGGGUCAGGGUGGUGGGUGUCAAGUGUCCACAAAACGAGCCUUUCUUUCUAAAGCGAAAGAAGAAAAAACAACAA